UGAUAAAUAUUUUUACAUAUUAUUUUACAAUUUUCAUCAAUCGCCGUAUUCUUUAAUAAAAACGGUUCACAAUAGUUAUUGUGCUGUAAAUAGCAAUAUUUCGAAUAUUUAUUUAUUUAUUGCUUUCCAGAAGUUAGUUGAAAAUUGCAGGAAAUCAAGAAAUAGAUAGUUGCAGUCAAAAGAAAUAUUGAUAGCUCGCCAAGGCACCGAAAACUAAAUGCAGUGAUAAUUUUAUUGGUGACAAAAAGUGAAAGGAAUAGUUCCCGUCAUAGUUAUCAACAAACAAUAUUUCCUAUAAUCUUCACAAAACAUUAAACUAUUUGCCAUAAUGCAUACUUUGCAAUUGGCAGGAGGUACCAAUGCUUAGCAUGAUAAUCAAGAAACUUUUCAAAGAAUUUGAUGAAUAAAAUUGGCCUAUAAA
rnacentral:lncRNA from 1 species